rnacentral:tRNA from 1 species
GGAGGGAUGGCCGAGCGGUUUAAGGCGCUGGUCUCGAAAACCAGUGGGGUCUUUAUGGCCCUCGUGGGUUCGAAUCCCACUCCCUCCGCCA